CAUGUAGGCGGCAUGACAAGUCUGGUGUGAAAUAUCUCGGCUCAACCGAGAAAACGCACUGGAAACUGUCAAGCUUGAGUAUCGGAGGGGAAGCUAGAAUUCCUGGUGUAGGGGUGAAAUCUGUAGAUAUCAGGAAGAAUACCGGUGGCGAAGGCGAGCUUCCGGCCAGAUACUGACGCUGAGAUGCGAAAGCGUGGGGAGCGAACAGGAUUAGAUACCCUGGUAGUCC
rnacentral:rRNA from 1 species